rnacentral:lncRNA from 1 species
AAACUCCAAAUAGGUAUAUUCCAUGAUUCAAUUAUUCCUAACAUUAUACAAUGUAUUAAAAAAUAUGGCAUCAACAAGGUUAUCACAUUAACCUUUCUUUAUCAAAGACAUCAACAUAUGUAUCGAAUCAAAAUACAAGAAUGCACAUAGAUCAUUCAAUAGAGCAAAAAAAAAAAUCAUAUAACAACAACAACACAACAAACCAAAAUUUACACAAUCCCUAAUGAGAGUAAGGGUCUCUCUUCUCUAUCCUUUCAUGCUAAACACCCUUAUUAAAAG